rnacentral:rRNA from 1 species
UAGAGUUUGAUCAUGGCUCAGGAUGAACGCUAGCGGCAGGCCUAACACAUGCAAGUCGAGGGGUAGAGGAAGCUUGCUUCCUUUAGACCGGCGCACGGGUGCGUAACGCGUAUGCAAUCUACCUUAUACAGAGGGAUAGCCCAGAGAAAUUUGGAUUAAUACCUCAUAGUAUUAUGAAAUCGCAUGGUUUUAUAAUUAAAGUUCCAACGGUAUAAGAUGAGCAUGCGUCCCAUUAGUUAGUUGGUAAGGUAACGGCUUACCAAGACAAUGAUGGGUAGGGGUCCUGAGAGGGAGAUCCCCCACACUGGUACUGAGACACGGACCAGACUCCUACGGGAGGCAGCAGUGAGGAAUAUUGGUCAAUGGACGCAAGUCUGAACCAGCCAUGCCGCGUGCAGGAUGACGGUCCUAUGGAUUGUAAACUGCUUUUAUACAGGAAGAAACACUCCCUCGUGAGGGAGCUUGACGGUACUGUAGGAAUAAGGAUCGGCUAACUCCGUGCCAGCAGCCGCGGUAAUACGGAGGAUCCAAGCGUUAUCCGGAAUCAUUGGGUUUAAAGGGUCCGUAGGCGGUUUAAUAAGUCAGUGGUGAAAGCCUAUCGCUUAACGAUAGAACGGCCAUUGAUACUGUUAGACUUGAAUUAGUGGGAAGUAACUAGAAUAUGUAGUGUAGCGGUGAAAUGCUUAGAUAUUACAUGGAAUACCAAUUGCGAAGGCAGGUUACUAUCACUAUAUUGACGCUGAUGGACGAAAGCGUGGGGAGCGAACAGGAUUAGAUACCCUGGUAGUCCACGCCGUAAACGAUGGAUACUAGCUGUUCGGAGCAAUCUGAGUGGCUAAGCGAAAGUGAUAAGUAUCCCACCUGGGGAGUACGUUCGCAAGAAUGAAACUCAAAUGAAUUGACGG